CGCUUGCCAGGCAGCCCGAGAGAGUUCUGGCGAGGGCUGCGGGAAGGAAAGGGGGCGGCGUCCUUCACAGGGAGGGUGCAGCUGACCUCCCUCCCCUUGUGCAGACUGGAAAAGAAUGGCCCAGAUCCUCUGGACUCCUCAGAUGAGCGGAUUCAGAGAGAAGCUUUUGAGAGCGUGCUGGCGGAGACAUUUUUCACAAAAGAGCCCUUGCGGUGCUGGUGUCCGUGGCGUGCCUGGGCCCACCAACGCUGGCCGGCCUCCAAGCACCCGGGCCUCUGCUCAUGUACAGCUCCUGAACUGCCCUGCCUCUGAGUUACUGUGGAAAAUGAGCUUAUAUAUGAAGAAGUCAGCGAGUGGACAAAGCCAGGCGCAAUGGAUAGCAAAGAUGUGGAAGUCUCCUCGAUUCAAGUUACAAGAAAACCGCAGCAUGGAGUCUGCUCUCAGCUGUUGGGGAAUUACCGAUGCCUUUGACUAAGUCAAGACUGACUUUUCCAGAAUAUCACCCAAGAGAUAGAGCCGUCCCUGUCCAAGUUUGUGCGCUAGCCCUUCAUGGAGGUCAGAGAGGAAGAAACAAAGGCAGCUGUGGCCUCGGCGGUCACAGUGUCAGAACGCACAAGCCCCAUAAAGAGGUUUCACGCAGGCCACCCAUCCCUUUUCAUUCUCCAGCAGAACAGGACAGAGAGCGUUCUGUUCUGCGGAAGGUCUUCCACUCUACAAGGCAAUCCCUCCAGCUGCUUUGCUGUAUUGUGCUGUCUCCUGUCACACUAUGAAUGCAGUGACCUCAGCCAGCAACAGGGAGAACCCCCCUGCCUCCCGAACAAAGGACCUCACGUGAAAUCCUGAGCUCAGAGCUUACAGAUAUGUGUGCGCUUUCACUUUACAUCGGCCGUGACUUCCAAACAACUUCAGGAAACUUUAGGAUCUCUGAGGUAUACUGGAGAUGACAGCAGCGUAGAAUGUUCAUUUGGAUUUAGAACAGAAAUGCUUAUUUUAUAUUUGGCUGCUCCCAAACUGUCCCCAGACUUCCUCUCCAGUGGUUACCCUCCACUGCCCUGGAUGUCCCACGUUUACACUCCACACUCACACCUCCACCUUAACAAAGUCCUCCACUGGGUCAAACCAUACAUCGCUUCGUCUCUGUAGUGAUGACUUCCUGUCCUCUGCUCUGUGGAUAAAGACCCCAGAUAAAGAUGCCUGUGUUGCUCAACUCUUGUAAAUACUCUUGAGACAUUUUGAAAGCAGAAGGAAAGGAGACAGACGGGGAAAAUAAAAGGGAUGGUCUGCUUGUGCGGAAACGUUUUGAGAAUGCCCUUCCCUAAGAGAGAACAGUAAAAGUGAGCAAUACUUCCUGAGCUGUGGGUUCAUAUGGCUGGACUGUGCUGUUUCUCACGGGAGAAGUUCUCGUCUCCCCUGCGUGUACAUCCCUGUUUGCCAGCCUGGCCUUCGGUGUGGUGAUAUCAUGGUGCACUCCCAGGAGGGAAGUGCUUGGUCAAGACUUCUGCUUGGGUUCGACUAUCAGUUCUGGUUUCCUUUAAGGCACAGGAUCUUCCCUUUAAGGCACAAACACCCCCUUGACACAAAGUAAGGGACAAGGGAACUUUAAACCAUUUGGAAACCCAAGCACAAUAGGCUGUAGGUUGUAAAAAGAAAUUACAAAGGUAAUUUUAUCCAGAAGAGGGAGCAGUUUAACUUCUGCAGGGUAAGAUUCAGAUUCACUUUUGUAACUGAACAGGGAAUUUUCUAAAUAUUUUGAAAAUGCC
ensembl:lncRNA SERPINB9P1 serpin family B member 9 pseudogene 1